UUGCGCAAAAAUGACAAGUGAUCGAUCGCACGCAGACGGCUGCCAUAAUGCGAAAUCGUCGUCGCGUCUUUGUUGAGAGCUCCUCGCAGAAGGUGUUGCCCUGCACGCAAACGCCAUCUCCGUCUCGAUGAGCGACACUGUGCAAUCGGUUCGUGUCCUGACACGCAUGUCCACGAGCACCGAGGUCAGGAAGAAAAUGGAACUGUGCCGAUUCCUCGCGGGACGUAACGAUUCGAGUGAGCGUGGGCCGAAAAGACAACAAGAAAAGCUCACGAUGCUGGACGCAAACGCCUGCUCGUGUUGCACUUCAGACAUACGCAUGCAGCCACGAGAACUAUCAUAUACUUGCUUGACUGAGCAUUGGCGCUUGCUGGCUGCACGGUACGCAGCAGACAAGGCCGACUUUUAUCGCUUCAUUGCUUCUUAUGCAAAUGUGCGCACCUCCGGUGCAAACCAGGGCACGAGGGGGUGCAUGUAUGUAAAAAGAAAGAAAAAAAAAGAGUGGGUCCACUGGGCCUGUUUAUAUGGAGCACCAGGGUGUAACACCAUUACUGACUUUACAGAGCUGUUUCAUGUUUAGCGGCACCAUUAUAGCCUUGCAAAAGAGUACCCAUAUUAAGUUCUGAUUGAAAGGAAGCCCUGUUAAAAACACACACAUACAGCCACACGCACACACAUCAUAAAUGUACAUAUAUAUAUAUAUAUAUAUAUAUAUAUAUAUAUAUAUAUAUAUAUAUAUAUAUAUAUAUAUAUA